AAGUAAAUAAGGGCGCAUGGCGGAUGCCUUGGCUCUCGGAGGCGAUGAANGACGUGAUAAGCUGCGAUNAGCUUCGGGUAGGUGCAAAUGACCUUUGAUUCCGAAGAUUUCCGAAUGGGACAACCCCGGCAUUCUGAAGGAAUGUCAUCCAACUUGGUUGGAGGCUAACGCAGGGAACUGAAACAUCUUAGUACCUGCAGGAAAAGAAAAUAAAUAAUGAUUCCCCUAGUAGUGGCGAGCGAACGGGGAUUAGCCCAAACCACCCAUGUUACGGCAUGUGUGGGGUUGUAGGACCACGCUCUCGCAAGACAGUUAUUGAGAAGAAACGACUGGAAAGUCGUGCCAUAGACGGUGAUAGCCCGGUAUUCUAAGGUAACCGAAGCGUAGUGGUAUCCUGAGUAGCGCGGAGCACGAGGAAUUCUGCGUGAACCAGCCGGGACCAUCCGGUAAGGCUAAAUACUCCCGAGAGACCGAUAGCGAACCAGUACUGUGAAGGAAAGGUGAAAAGCACUUCGAAUAGAAGAGUGAAAUAGUCCCUGAAACCAUGCGCCUACAAGCGGUCGGAGCAGCUUAAGCUGUGACGGCGUGCCUUUUGCAUAAUGAACCUACGAGUUACUUUUUCCGGCAAGGUUAAGCAUCUUGAGAUGUGGAUCCGAAGCGAAAGCGAGUCUGAACAGGGCGGAUAGUCGGAAGGAGUAGACGCGAAACCAAGUGAUCUACCCUUGGGCAGGUUGAAGGUUAGGUAACACUAACUGGAGGACCGAACCGAUAAGCGUUGAAAAGCUUCCGGAUGACCUGAGGGUGGGGGGUGAAAGGCUAAUCAAACUUGGAGAUAGCUCGUACUCCCCGAAAUGCAUUUAGGUGCAGCCUUGAGAGUUACUAAUGUGAGGUAGAGCGACUGAUAAGAUGCGAGGGCUUCACCGCCUAUCAAGUCUUGAUAAACUCCGAAUGCGCAUUAGUUCUAUCUCAGGAGUGAGGGCAUGGGUGUAAGGUCCAUGUCUAAAGAGAAGAAUCCAGACCAUCAGUAAGGUCCCCAAAUAAACAUUAAGUUGACCUAACGAAGUCAGAUUGCUAAGACAGCUAGGAUGUUGGCUUGGAAGCAGCCAUUCAUUUAAAGAGUGCGUAACAGCUCACUAGUCGAGGAGUUUGGCGUGGAUAAUAAUCGGGCAUAAGUGUUUUACCGAAGCUAUGGGAUCCGUAUGGAUCGGUAGGGGAGCAUUCCACUCAGCGUUGAAGGCGAAGCGUGAGCUUUACUGGAGCGUGUGGAAAAGCAAAUGUAGGUAUAAGUAACGAUAAAGGGGGUGAGAAACCCCCUCGCCGCAAGACUAAGGUUUCCUGAUCAACGCUAAUCGGAUCAGGGUUAGUCGGGUCCUAAGGCUCAGCCGAACGGUGAGGCCGAUGGCAGAACAGGUUAAUAUUCCUGUACUACCUAUAAGAGUGAUGUGGAGACGGAGGAGUGACAACGCCGCGGACUGACGGAAUAGUCCGUUAAAGGGUGUAGAUGUUGAUUAUCCCAGGCAAAUCCGGGAUAAGAGUCGAACCUGACAGUAUACCAAUUUCCUCGGAAAACGGUAAUAGUGCGUGUAAACAUACUCCCAAGAAAAUCCGCUAAACUUAAUCUUAUAGGUACCCGUACCGUAAACGGACACACGUAGUCGGGUUGAAUAUACUCAGGCGCUUGAGUGAAUCACGGUUAAGGAACUAGGCAAAUUGACCCUGUAACUUCGGGAUAAAGGGUCCCUACCCGGUGACGGGGAGGGCGCAGAAAAAUAGGUCCAGGCCAACCUGUUUAACAAAAACACAGGGCUGUGCAAAAUUGAAAGAUCACGUUUACAGCCCUGACACCUGCCCGGUGCUGGAAGGUUAAGAGGAGAUGUCAUCGCAAGAGAAGCAUUGAAUUGAAGCCCCAGUAAACGGCGGCCGUAACUAUAACGGUCCUAAGGUAGCGAAAUUCCUUGUCGGGUAAGUUCCGACCUGCACGAAUGGCGUAACGAUGGCCACACUGUCUCCACCAGAGACUCAGCGAAGUUGAAAUGUUUGUAAUGAUGCAUCUCCCCGCGGAAAGACGGAAAGACCCCAUGAACCUUUACUGUAGCUUUGUAUUGGAUUUUGAACGGAUCUGUGUAGGAUAGGUGGGAGGCUUUGAAGUGAGGACGCUAGUUCUCAUGGAGCCGACGUUGAAAUACCACCCUGGUGCGUUGAGGUUCUAACCCAGGUCCCUUAUCGGGAUCGGGGACAGUGCAUGGUAGGCAGUUUGACUGGGGCGGUCUCCUCCCAAAGCGUAACGGAGGAGUUCGAAGGUACGCUAGUUACGGUGCGGACAUCGUGACGAUAGUGCAAUGGCAUAAGCGUGCUUAACUGCGAGACUGACAAGUCGAGCAGAUGCGAAAGCAGGACAUAGUGAUCCGGUGGUUCUGUAUGGAAGGGCCAUCGCUCAACGGAUAAAAGGUACUCUGGGGAUAACAGGCUGAUACCGCCCAAGAGUUCAUAUCGACGGCGGUGUUUGGCACCUCGAUGUCGGCUCAUCUCAUCCUGGGGCUGUAGUCGGUCCCAAGGGUAUGGCUGUUCGCCAUUUAAAGAGGUACGUGAGCUGGGUUUAAAACGUCGUGAGACAGUUUGGUCCCUAUCUUCCGUGGGCGCUGCAGAUUUGAGGAAGCCUGCUCCUAGUACGAGAGGACCGGAGUGGACACACCUCUGGUGUAUCGGUUGUCACGCCAGUGGCAUUGCCGAGUAGCUAAGUGUGGAAGAGAUAACCGCUGAACUUUUU
rnacentral:rRNA from 1 species